CUGCUCAGAUUGAACGCUGGCGGCAGGCUUAACACAUGCAAGUCGAGCGGAAACGAUGGGAGCUUGCUCCCAGGCGUCGAGCGGCGGACGGGUGAGUAACACUUAGGAAUCUACCUAGUAGUGGGGGAUAGCUCGGGGAAACUCGAAUUAAUACCGCAUACGACCUACGGGAGAAAGGGGGCAGUUUACUGCUCUCGCUAUUAGAUGAGCCUAAGUCGGAUUAGCUAGAUGGUGGGGUAAAGGCCUACCAUGGCGACGAUCUGUAGCUGGUCUGAGAGGAUGAUCAGCCACACCGGGACUGAGACACGGCCCGGACUCCUACGGGAGGCAGCAGUGGGGAAUAUUGGACAAUGGGGGGAACCCUGAUCCAGCCAUGCCGCGUGUGUGAAGAAGGCCUUUUGGUUGUAAAGCACUUUAAGCAGUGAAGAAGACCUAACGGUUAAUACCCGUUAGCGAUGACAUUAGCUGCAGAAUAAGCACCGGCUAACUCUGUGCCAGCAGCCGCGGUAAUACAGAGGGUGCAAGCGUUAAUCGGAAUUACUGGGCGUAAAGCGAGCGUAGGUGGCUUGAUAAGUCAGAUGUGAAAUCCCCGGGCUUAACCUGGGAACUGCAUCUGAUACUGUUAAGCUAGAGUAGGUGAGAGGGAAGUAGAAUUCCAGGUGUAGCGGUGAAAUGCGUAGAGAUCUGGAGGAAUACCGAUGGCGAAGGCAGCUUCCUGGCAUCAUACUGACACUGAGGCUCGAAAGCGUGGGUAGCAAACAGGAUUAGAUACCCUGGUAGUCCACGCCGUAAACGAUGUCUACUAGUCGUUGGGUCCCUUGAGGACUUAGUGACGCAGCUAACGCAAUAAGUAGACCGCCUGG
rnacentral:rRNA from 1 species